UAUGGUCAUAUCAUGUUCAAACAACAGUUCCCCUAUGAUCACCGAAGUUAAGCAACAUUAGGUCUGGUCAGUACACAGGUGGUUGACCUGUUGGGAAUAUCUGGUGCUGUAA